CUCUCGCCUGCCUUCGGCCCUUAGGCUCCGGGAGAUUGCAAAUAACCUGCUUUCUUUCUGUUCCCAGGUGGCGUCGGACCCCUGUCAGAGAGUAAAUCUCAAGUAAGGUACCUGCCAUCGGCAGAUUUGAGCUUUCUUCUUGGACACCUAAUACCCACAGUCCUCCAGGCUCCGGUAGACUGCAAAUGACCUGCUUUCUUUCUGUUCCCGGGCUGCGUUUGGACCCCUGUCGGAUAGUAAAUCCCAAGCUCCGGUAGACUGCAAAUGACCUGCUUUCUUUCUGUUCCCGGGCUGCGUUUGGACCCCUGUCGGACAGUAAAUCCCAAGAAUGGAACAGAUAAGAAGAUACUGAAAUUGGACGGUGCUGCCGUGCGGCUGCCGCAGGACACCUUUAAUAUCCCUGUUUCUCAGGCUGUAGAUGAAGGGGUUCAGCAUGGAGGUGAUCACCGUGUACAUCACUGAGGCCACUGCAGCCUUUCUCGGGGAAGAUGACACAUCUGAACUGAGGUACCCUCCAAAGCCUGUUCCGUAAAAUCAGCAAACAACUGACAGGAUAACUUCAGGAAGUGGGUAUUAAUUCUCACGGUAUAAGUGAAGACAUUAAGCACCAGAGUUUAAGUAGCUUGAUCCACUGAAAGAGAUUCAACUGUGUGGAACCUAUGCCGUGGAGAAUUGCUUUCUGCCAUUGUUAUCGUCCAGCAGUUGCCGAAUAGCUCUGACCUGAGCAAAGCAGUGAAACGCGGUGCUGUUGAGUGGGUUGCCACUGCACCUUUUUCAACUACUCUAGUCUUGUGGAGAAAAUACCCCUUCUAAAUUUUUUCUUCAUUGAAUACUCUCCCUCAGCUCCAGAGUACCAUAUAGAGUUUUCUUGUAUUUUAGAGUUACUGUUUUAUCAAAGUUUACCAGUCUUUUGUAUUACAUUUCUCCUGUCUAAA